UACGUAGGUGGCAAGCGUUGUCCGGAUUUACUGGGUGUAAAGGGUGCGCAGGCGGGCGCUUAAGUAGGAAGUGAAAGGUUCGAGCUCAACUCGGACACUGCUUUCUAUACUGGGUGCCUUGAGGCUUGGAGGGGGAAGCGGAACGACACGUGUAGCGGUGAAAUGCGUUGAUAUGUGUCGGAACACCAAUGGCGAAAGCAGCUUCCUGGACAAGUACUGACGCUCAGGCACGAAAGCCAAGGUAGCAAACAGG
rnacentral:rRNA from 1 species